GGCGUCCAUGCGCCACUUCGAUAAAGCGGCACGACACGAGAACCCUCUCAUCGUGGCCGCCGGUAACUACAUUCCCGAUCCUGCGGACAGAAUGGAAAGCAGUCGACGUCGCCCUAAACACGUCAUCUCGGAUCCUCCUGAUCCACUAACGGUGCUUUUAGGUACUUCAAGCACCGGUCACCGUUCUCGUCGAACCCGUCGCUUGCGACGAAGGGCUCGACGAGUAAAUUAACUCUCAGACACAGCCCACUGAGUUUCUCGCCGGAUCUUCUCAGUGGGUCGCGUUUCCGAUCCGGUGGUAGAUUCUGCGAAGCACGACUCUUGCUAGGGUUCGUGUUAGCAACAUCGUCAGGUUUGAGCCCCGUGAGCUCACCUACUAAAGUUAAGGCUACGCUGAAAUAGCCGCUAGGGCUAUCAGCUUAGGUAGGAAAAAAAAAAAAAAAAAAAAGCCUUUGCCUCUUUUUAGUGCGUGGCGUUCGUGUGUGCGGUUCUUGUUGAAACAUGUUUGGUUCUUGUGUAAUUUUAACAGUUUUCGUUAAUAGUAAAUUGAAAUCAUUUUGUUAGACGUUUUGUUAAUUCAGUGAAAUAUAAUUAGGCCAGUUCUGUGUUAUUUAUUUCUUUUUGCUAACUACCUCACUUCUGGUCGAUAAUAUCAGAAGUGGGAUAAAACCACGUGCUUUUGAAAAGUGACGGGACGUCGAUGUAGAAAAUACAGGCGCGAUCAUUCUCAUCGACGCUGUCAUGCCCGCUCGAAUUCUCGAUUUAGGAGUUUGUUGCAAUUAUUAUCGUCGCGAUCGUGCUGUGUGUAGGAAGAGCAAGACACCUACGCCGCAGGAUGUCUCCUGGUAUAGUUCCGUGGAACCGUUGUUUAGAACUUAAUUAUACUCGUGAGAUCGUGAGAUUAAUUACCACUUUACCGGUACCGUCUAAUCGCAAUACGCUGUCGCACUCUUGUACCGAACGCCACGCGCACUUAUUUUUGCCUCCAGCAGCAACGGUUUCCGUCGAAGGGGGUGACGCAUGUGCACCUGAGUACCCUGGGACAGCGUCAUGCAAAUCGGCGGGUGUGUGUAGCAGUGCUGGUCAGCAGAUGGACGGCGUGACGAACAGGAUUAUUGGAGCAUUGCAGGUGCUAUCUAAACUUUGACAAUGGAGGCGCCUUCUGUUUGAUUUGUUCACAGACGCAGGGCGUUGUCGCCGACGUGUGAGGUCAGUAGCGAGUCGGCGCCGUGCUCCAGCAGGAGAGCGCAGAGCCGUGCAGACUGCACGUGUUGCUCGCGUGCCGCUACCUGCGCGCGCUCGCCUGCUUCAGACGUGCAUACUGCACGUGUUGCUCGCGUGCCGCUGCAUGCGCGCGCUCACCUACUUCUGGCGCGCAUACUGCGCGCACUGCUCGCGUGCCGCUACCUGCGCGCGCUCGCCUGCUUCAGACGUGCAUACUGCACGUGUUGCUCGCGUGCUGCUGCAUGCGCGCGCUCACCUACUUCUGACGUGCAUGCUGCACGUGUUGCUCGCAUGCCGCCGACUGCACGGUGCUGUACGACUGGCAGUGACGCAGAGGGCGAUGUCGCUUAGUCUGCGGCCUGCUGCUGCGAACUACCCAACGGAUUGUCUAUCAGGACGGUCGAGCGGGACGCCCGCCACACGUGGUGCAGCCUCGCAUCGUGGGAGCAGACUGGAGCUGGGACGGCUGCCCUGCUUCCACAUCAUCCUUACGAGUGGACCCCGGUGACAUGCAGCCUUUUCUUCGAAAUUAAUAUGUGAAGGUCGAGGUGGGCACUUCGGUGCUUUACUUCCCAUUUUUGAGGUUGAGGUGGGCACGACGGUGCUUUACUUCCCAUUUUUGAGGUUGAGGUGGGCACGACGGUGCUUUACUUCCCGUUUAUUUAUUUUUUGAGCAGUAUGGUAGAUGCGGAUUCGGCCGGAUUUUGCGUCCCUACUGUUUAGCUGUGUUGUAUCGGUAAUGUUCAGUAUCUGUAUCGGUGAAUAUUGCCGACAACAGCGCGCUACUGUUUUAGACGUUUCCUGUACGGGCUAACUCAGUAAAGGAAUCGUGCAGGUGUCUCAAAUUGCGCAGUUUGGGACAAUUGUGCGAUAUCCAUUCUUCUCACUUCAAAUGUUUAUCUUUGGCUCGUCCUCGCUGCAGAUGUAAGAGUGCACGCUUGCGUCUGUAGUAGGGAUUCUAAAUUUUAGAAAGUUUUAGAGCAUUAAGGUCUGGGUGUAAUUUUUUUUGUUGCGUUACAGAGGGUGACCUUGUUGAUGCAAGCUCUGACGUAGCUGGAAGAGAUAUGCUUCUGCUGAGAGAUGAAGCGGUCGAGGACGCCUCGCCAUCAGGAACGGCCGUGUUACCGAAUCCUGGCAACCCCCGACCGAGAGCCAGCGCUAAAACUAUAAAAACGAUCUCUCGCUGCGCCUUUGCCUCUUUUUAGUGCGUGGCGUUCGUGUGUGCGGUUCUUGUUGAAACAUGUUUGGUUCUUGUGUAAUUUUAACAGUUUUCGUUAAUAGUAAAUUGAAAUCAUUUUGUUAGACGUUUUGUUAAUUCAGUGAAAUAUAAUUAGGCCAGUUCUGUGUUAUUUAUUUCUUUUUGCUAACUACCUCACUUCUGGUCGAUAAUAAUAAAUUUUUUUUAUAUUUCAGCGAAAAUUAAGCAAUUUCAAGCAAUUAAAAAAAAAAGCUAUCUCAAUCGCUAGCCAUUUUACAGUGUGGGUUUUGUGUUUUGACAUUGCGUGACCGAAAGAAGCUGGUUCGCGGACCCUUCGAAUACAUAUAUAGGUUGGUGGCAUUUACGUCGUUGACGUCUAUGGACUCCGGAAACCACUUAACAUCAGAUGAGCCGUGAUAUCGUUCACUCGUCUAGUAAUUACCAAUGGCAUUACCAUGUCCGCGAUGUCAUCCACAUAGCCGAGAAUAAACAGAUCUGGCCAAAGACAGUUCAAGAUACAGUUCUUCAGAGAGGCCACGACCCUCAACAUUGAAGAUUAUCGACGCAAAAAGGACCAAUACCAUUGACAAUAUCUGUUUUAUCAAAGAGUUUACCACCUUGCAAACUAUCUGAACCAAUUUAAAACGUAGUUAUUUAUCUCUAAGAAAGUUGUUCAACAAAUUCAGUGUAAAAAUCGUCCAUUAUAAAUAUCUAUUCUACUUAAAUAAUACAUUGAUAAAAUCUAAUCAUUUCUUUGGUUUAUUAGCUGUAAAUUGUGAGCAUAAUUAGUUAUAUAAAUCACAAAAGCACUGUUUUACUCGCCGUUUCGUUAUAUUUACAAAAAUAAAAUAUAUCGUCGAAUAUAUUAUAAUACAAAACAAUUUUAAUACACAAUAAUAUUAAAAAUAAAAAUAAAACUUAUAAUGUAUUUAAUUUGUUAAAUAAUUCACUUUUUAAAAACAAUCUCCUAAUGUAUAAAUUUAAUUUUUAUAAUAAAUUC